UACGUAGGGUGCAAGCGUUAAUCGGAAUUACUGGGCGUAAAGCGUGCGCAGGCGGCUUUGCAAGACAGAUGUGAAAUCCCCGGGCUUAACCUGGGAACUGCAUUUGUGACUGCAUGGCUAGAGUGCGGCAGAGGGGGAUGGAAUUCCGCGUGUAGCAGUGAAAUGCGUAGAUAUGCGGAGGAACACCGAUGGCGAAGGCAAUCCCCUGGGCCUGCACUGACGCUCAUGCACGAAGGUCAGGGGAGCAAACGGG
rnacentral:rRNA from 1 species